rnacentral:piRNA from 1 species
UACGGCUGAAUCAAGUACAGC